rnacentral:rRNA from 1 species
UACGUAGGGUGCAAGCGUUGUCCGGAAUUACUGGGCGUAAAGCGUGCGCAGGCGGCUUUGCAAGACAGAUGUGAAAUCCCCGGGCUUAACCUGGGAACUGCAUUUGUGACUGCAUGGCUGGAGUGCGGCAGAGGGGGAUGGAAUUCCGCGUGUAGCAGUGAAAUGCGUAGAUAUGCGGAGGAACACCGAUGGCGAAGGCAGCCCCCUGGGUCAAGAUUGACGCUCAUGCACGAAAGCGUGGGGAGCAAACAGG